rnacentral:rRNA from 1 species
CCUACGGGAGGCAGCAGUGGGGAAUAUUGGACAAUGGGGGGAACCCUGAUCCAGCGACGCCGCGUGAGUGAAGACGUAUUUCGGUAUGUAAAGCUCUAUCAGUAGGGAAGUAAAUGACGGUACCUGACUAAGAAGCACCGUCUAACUACGUGCCAGCAGCCGCGGUAAUACGUAGGGGGCAAGCGUUAUCCGGAUUUACUGGGUGUAAAGGGAGCGUAGACGGUGCAGCAAGUCUGAUGUGAAAGGUCGGGGCCCAACCCCGGGACUGCAUUGGAAACUGUUGAACUGGAGUACAGGAGAGGUAAGCGGAAUUCGUGGUGUAGCGGUGAAAUGCGUAGAUAUUAGGAAGAACA